GGCUGUCCGCGCGCAGGCGCAGCGCGGCCGCGCCGCCAUUGCUGCGCUGUCAGUGCCGGGAGCGGUCGCAGGGACCGGAGGAGUGAACCGGCCUUGUCUCACCUGUCCCGGGGGGGCCCUGCCCUGUCUCUGUGUCACUCCGCCACGCGAUGGAGUUCCAGGCCGUGGUGAUGGCGGCCGGAGGCGGGUCCCGCAUGACGGACCUGACCUCCAGCAUCCCGAAGCCGCUGCUCCCGGUGGGAAACCGGCCCCUGCUGUGGUACCCGCUGAACCUCCUGGAGCGCGCCGGCUUCGAAGAGGUCAUUGUGAUUACAAGGAAGGAAAUCCAAAAGAUGCUAAACCUGGACACAAAAAUGAAGCUCGAUUUUGUGUGCAUCAGUGACAACAUGGACAUGGGUACAGCAGAUUCACUGAGGCAUAUUCACCAGAAAAUUAAGACGGAUGUCUUGGUGUUGAGCUGCGAUCUGAUCACAGAUGUAGAUUUAUAUAAAGUUGUGGACCUCUUUCGGACACAUGAUGCUACUCUCUCCAUGUUGAUGAAGAAAACUCAUGAACCAACAGAAGUGGUACCAGGACAGAAAGGGAAAAAAAAGCCAGUGGAGCAGCGCGACUUCAUUGGAGUGGAUGACACAGGAAAAAGAUUGCUCUUCAUGGCUAAUGAAGCUGACUUGGAUGAAGAACUUGUCAUUAAAAGAUCCAUCCUUCAGAAGCACCCCAGAAUGCACAUCAGAACAGGGCUGAUGGAUGCCCAUCUCUACUGUCUGAAGAAAUAUGUGGUAGAUUUUCUGGUAGAAAACAGGACAAUCACAUCUCUCCGGAGUGAACUGAUUCCACAUCUGGUUAGGAAACAGUUUUCUUCUCCUGCAUCAUUGCAGCAAGGACUAGACAACAAAGAAGAGGACCAAAAGAAAAAAGAGCAAGCAUCCCUAGACAUUUAUAGUUUCAUAAAGGAAGAUAAUAGCUUGCUGAAACCUGCUCCAGAUAACUCUUGUUGGAAUGAUCAUAGAGGAGAUAUGAAUGAAACUCUCCAUGAAGGAAAAGUGCGCUGCUACGUCCAUAUCAUGAAGGAGGGGUUGUGCUACCGAGUGAAUACUCUUGGACUGUACAUUGAAGCCAACAGACAGGUUCCCAAAUUAUUGUUUAAUCUGGGUCUGGAAGAGCCACUGGUUCAUGGGUCUGCACAGAUCACUGAUAGAGGCAUGGUUGGAUCAGACAGUAUGAUUGGGUCAUCCACACAAAUCGGAGAGAAGACAUCCAUCAAACACUCCAUCAUCGGCAGCAUGUGUACCAUAAAAGACAAAGUUAAGAUAACAAACUGUAUCAUCAUGAAUUCUGUUACAAUUGAGGAAGGGUGCUGUCUUCAGGGCAGUGUUAUUUGUCAUAAUGCUGUGAUAGAGAAGGGUGCAGACAUCAAGGACUGUUUGAUUGGAAGUGAUCAGAGGCUGGAAACCAAAGCCAAACAUGUUAAUGAAGUCAUUGUGGGCACCGAACAGCUGAUGGAGAUAUAACCCGAGUAGCUUUUAAAGAUGAUUUUAUGGAAGCCAGCAGCAGAACCAGAUGUUCAAGCAUCGUGGCUGUUGAGAUCUCUCAGGAAGCAGCAGCUCAUCUGAUCCCUUCUGCAGUCAAACCCAAGCGGAUGGCUCCCAUCUUCCUGGCAGCCCUGGAAGACAGCCACAUGAGGUGAAGACAAACAGCCAGCCAUUCCCAGGGAUGGUGGGCUUCCAACCCCCAUGGUGUUCAAAUGGAGACAAAAACUUUGCACCCAACUCUGAUCUUGCUUUUAGGACAAUUUUUAUCUUGCUUUUAGGACAAUUUUUUGGGCACAAAGGCGAGAGCAGAGCCUGAGCAGUCAUAUGGUCUCAGGUACACAGGUCUGGCUCCCCCAGUCACCUAUCCAGCUGACACUGUGUGUGCAGCCCUAGCAGUGGGAGUCUCCUGAACCUCUCUGUGUUGGGAUCAGAAGGACUUGACAAUCUUUUAUUGCCUUCAGUCUACAAGGCUGAUUGUGCACAGCCAUGCUCCUGCUGACUUCCUUGCUGGUUUCUGCACCCCACUGUCCUUACUCUGGCUGCCUGGGAAGAGAGCUUUUCACCAUGCCCCUGCCCACCCUUUGGACUUUGCUGGUCCAGAGAUGAGAAUUUUCCUAAUAAAAUCCCACAGGUCUAGGGAACACCAUUUUUUCCUGAGGUGCCUUACUGCCUUCACGCUGGCCCAAGUCCCCAGUGAGGGCCAGUAAUGGCUGCUGUGGUCCCUGUCCAAUGUCUUGUGAGGGGCAGAGUGAGAUCAAGGCCCACGUGGGGCUCGCAGAGGAGCCGCCUGUGCCGGCAGCAGUGGUGUGACAGACGCACGUCGCACAGUGUGUGGUGUAAUCCAGCCCCAGGACACCGCAGUGCUGCCCUCCCGUCACACACAGCCACUCCUGUGGCCUUUGGUUAUCUGUUUUAAAGGAUUGAUUCUUGCAGCGGGCGGGGGGGGCUGGGGCCUUCGGCAUUGCAGGCUGCCCACUGUGCCCCCACCCAGCCCGUCCCAUCCAUGGGGGACCGCAGAGCGCAGGGCCCUUCUCACUGGGCCACCUGCAGAGUUAAUUUGGGGAUGUGGAGAUUCCCUCACAAGCACCCAGCACCCCCACCCCACCCCAGAAGCCUGCCCACCGAGGCUCGCUCCCUCUCAGCCAGGAGACUGAUUCUGGAUCCUGUCGGUUUGCACUCCAUCUCCCAGGAGCCAAGGUCCACAGCCGUGCCUGUGCCUCCCAGACGGGCCGGCAGACGGGAACUUCCUUCCAGGUCCUAUAGACAGACAUUUUAUAUACGUUAAAAUACGUGUGUAUAUAAAUAUGGAAAGCAAGAGCUUGGGAGAGCUUGAGUCUAAAUAAACUUGUAUGUUUUAGGCUUUUAAAAUGCUAAUGCUGAAUUUCAGGGGAUGGGGGACGGCAAGGGGAUUGUUGGACUGAGGACCAAGACAGCUGAUGAGCUUGGAUCAGUGCCUUUACAAUUCAAGGAAAAAUGGGAUAGUUUGGGAAGGGAAAAGGGAUUUUCUUGUUUUUGUUUUUAGUAGAAAAUAAAAGAAUCUGCCUUCUUAUUUGCCUCCCUCCCCCAGCGCCGGAGCAGCGAGCGACUGGUGUUGUAUGCAUAAGCUAUUCCUUUGUGCAACAUCUAAAUGGUUAAUUGUGUUUGAGGAAGAUGUACGGGCGAAUGGAGGGACCACCCAGCAAGAGACAGACAAGAAAGAGCGAUCUCUGAAAUGUUUAACCAGAGAGAGAGCAAAGUUGUUUAAAAAUAUUUAAUUUACAACAUUCCACACUGCUGAUUAUAAAUCGGCCGUCCAAAAACACUGCUGCGUGCGGGGAGGGAUCCAGGCAGCA